CGGGGUGUAGCGCAGUUGGUAGCGCGCAUGGUUCGGGACCAUGAGGCCGGAAGUUCAAGUCUUCUCACUCCGACCA
rnacentral:tRNA from 1 species